rnacentral:lncRNA from 10 species
GUGCGGAGGGGGCGGGGGCGGAGUCGCCAUCUUGGACUCGGUUCGACCAGGUCUGGUGACCGGCGACGAGGGGCCGGGCUCGGCGCCGGGGGUCGGGGAAAGAAGAACUAGGUCUGGCAGUAGAUCAGAAUCUACCUGUUGGGGAAAACCAGAAAUAGGAAGAAGAGUUAUUAAUGGUUCAUUCUUGGCUGAGAAGAAUUCAGUAUGGAAUAAUUAAGAACUACUAUCAAUGCCUUUUACAAAAUGAGGUCAUUGGAUUGCAGAGUUGGCUUUCGAGAAGAUUUUGUGGCCUUUCUCAGCUGUCUAGGUGCUGUAGGUGCUGUGUUUCUAUGGCUGCAAGGAUGAAGAUUAUGAUAUGGAUGGAUGAUGGAAGGAAGGAUCUAUGAAUAUAAUAUUUGAGUUUCAGUUACUGGCCUUUACUUCUUCCAGAAAGUCAGGCCAAAAGAACAAAGUCCUAGAAGGUCUUCUGGUGAGUCACAUUCUGAGCAGCAAAACUGGCAUUGAGGCAUAAUUAACAUUCAGAUUGCCCCCAGUUUCUAUGGAGAUGAGUCUAGCCCCUCGGGGGAGUAGUGAUGGAUGUGUAAUCUCCAAGAUAAGUAACUGACAGGCUGUAUUCUAGGAACUCAAAAUGAAAGAAAAAUAGGAUAUGUUUCUUACUUUAGAGACCACAGAAACUAGUCUCCUAUAUUGGACCUUCUUGGUAAGAGCCCCAUCCCUUCAAAGGCCACAUGAAUCUGAAGGCCAAUAUUCAAGUCCUAUGCUGUUAUUAUCAACUUGGAUGCAGCGAGUCAUCUGACCUGACCUGUGGACACAGCCUCUGCAUCUGUUGAGAGGAUUAAAGAAGUCUAAUUCACAGUUACUGCAAGUAUAAUGGAGCUGAGAGGAUGGUGUGAGCAAUAGCACCAAUGUAAGAGUUAUCAUAGAUUAACACACUACUGGUUCUGAUGCAGCACAUAAGAGAAACAGAAGAUCAAACUUAAAGUCACAGCAAGUAGGUGGCAGAGUGAAGAGCAGAUCCAGCAGAUUCUCUGAACUCUCGGUGUUCCAGGAAGUCAUGGCAAUUGAGAAGGCGUAGGAGGAAGAAAUCUUGUUGCCUCUUCCCUCAAAAUACAUCCAGAACUUGUCCUCUUUUAUCACCUCCACCGCCCUGACCUUGGCCCAAGCCUCUAUUAUCCACAAUAAUUGAGAUGCUCUCAAGCUGGGCCAGUGGCCAACUGCAGAACGGAGAGUGGCCGAGCAGGGAAGGUCAUAGAAGGCACAGGAUGGGGAAGGACACUGGAGACCAGGUUCCUGUAGGCUUCCAGAGACCACCUGCAUUUGUUGGUUGAUAGCCUCUUCCUCGAAUCACCCUGAUCCUCUGCUUCUGUGGCCACAUUUUCAUCUCUCCAAAUCUGAGUCUUCUGCCUGUCUCCUCUAGGGACCCUUGAGAUGACUUUGGGCCCAUCCAGAUCAUCCAAGAUAAUCUCCCCUUCUCAAGUUUCUUAAUCACUUCGGCAAGGUCUUUUUUGCCACAUAAAGUAAUAUUUGCACUGGGUUCAGGAAUCAGGAUGUGGGCAUCUUUGUGGGGGGAGUCACUAUUCCACCUACCACACAGAGCCCCUUCAACAAGUGAGAUUAGAUGAGAAAAUGUUGGUGAAGCACUGAGCCCAGAGAUAGAGCAUAGUAGGUGUGGAUGCUGGUGAUAGUGAAGGGGUGAAUGGCUGACAAAGACCAGGUGACUAAUUUCACAGCUGCCAGAAAUCAGCCUCCAGGGACACACAAGGAGCUUUGCCACACGCUGAAUCAGAUAAGGCCUCUGACUUUGUUUUGCCCCAGAAGCAGACCUCAAGAAGAGGACUCCAG